rnacentral:rRNA from 1 species
GUGUCAGCCGCCGCGGUAAUACGUAGGUGGCAAGCGUUGUCCGGAAUUACUGGGUGUAAAGGGCGUGUAGGCGGGUUGUCAAGUCAGAUGUGAAAUUCCGUGGCUCAACUGCGGAGCUGCAUCUGAAACUGAUGAUCUUGAGUACUGGAGAGGGAAGCGGAAUUCCUAGUGUAGCGGUGAAAUGCGUAGAUAUUAGGAGGAACACCAGUGGCGAAGGCGGCUUUCUGGACAGUAACUGACGCUGAGGCGCGAAAGCGUGGGGAGCGAACAGGAUUAGAUACCCUGGUAGUCCACGCCGUAAACGAUGGAUACUAGGUGUGAGGGGGAUUACCUCUUCGUGCCGCAGUUAACACAAUAAGUAUCCCACCUGGGGAGUACGGCCGCAAGGUUGAA